rnacentral:rRNA from 1 species
UACGUAGGGUGCGAGCGUUAAUCGGAAUUACUGGGCGUAAAGCGUGCGCAGGCGGUGAUGUAAGACCGAUGUGAAAUCCCCGGGCUUAACCUGGGAACUGCAUUGGUGACUGCAUCGCUCGAGUAUGGCAGAGGGGGGUAGAAUUCCAGGUGUAGCGGUGAAAUGCGUAGAUAUCUGGAGGAAUACCGGUGGCGAAGGCGGCAUCCUGGACCAUAACUGACGCUGAGGCGCGAAAGCUAGGGGAGCAAACGGG